CUCUGAGAUGAGCAGAUGUGCGAGACGUGGUCAGGGACGGACUGGGGCUAAAAAACAGCCAUGGACUUUCUCCCAAAUAGGCCCAUCAUCCGGCCAUUCGCCCCUAGCCGUGCACAACAGACACUAGCCAGGAUGUCCUGAUACUAUGCCACAAUACUGUAGCCUAUCAGAUAAGGUAUUCACAGCAAGUAACAUCUCAAAACCAAUGAUGAUAAUUGGGGUUGUGUUUAUUAAUGAAGCCUCAGCUUCAAAAAACGUACAAUGCCAUUACAUCUGCAUUGAAAAUAAAAUACAAAUAAUGAAAUGUCACUGGCUACAGAAACCCCAAAUUACACAAAAUUGUAAUU